CAUGAAGUCGGAAUUGCUAGUAAUCGCGGAUCAGCGUGCCGCGGUGAAUACGUUCCCGGGCCUUGUACACACCGCCCGUCACACCAUGGGAGCCGGUAAUACCCGAAGUCAGUAGUCCAACCUCGUGAGGACGCUGCCGAAGGUAGGAUUGGCGACUGGGGUGAAGUCGUAACAAGGUAAC
rnacentral:rRNA from 1 species